rnacentral:lncRNA from 1 species
AGGGGUGGUUCUUGAGGCAGGAGUUUGAUUUGGAUGAGACUGAGCUGAGUGGUGCUGGAGGGAGGAGACAAGCGAGCAGCCCUAGCAGCUGCAAGGGGGAGAAUCCAGCGCUGCUCGGCUCAGAGGCCUCCCCUUGACGCCCUCCUGGGGGUCCCGCACAGCCCCCUGCUUUUAGGGGUGCAGCUUGAGGACUUGUCAGCCCCUAACUUCCAGAAACUACUGUCCGUCCGGCUGGCGGGUGACAGCCGGGAAGUCUUGCGACAUGGAUGGGGGAAGGGCUCCCCAGGGUCAGCGCCACUACCCGGCCCCCGGAGCCUCUCCCCCAGCGCAUCUCCGAGCUUGAGUCACCAGCCCCUGGGCCUCACGGCCCUGCAUCUCAGCCACAGACUUGGAGACUCCCUGAUGUCCACGGCAGAGCUGGCUGGGGACGAUGGAGUGAAGAAGCCAGGCUUUGGCUCUGGGGGAGGCCUGAGGUUCAGCCACACAGAGCACCGUCCUGUGCACCUGCUGCUUCCUGGGAUGCCGGCACCGCGGGUCUCUCCACUGAGGCAAAGCGCUGGGGACAGCAGGGAGCCCCACGGGUCUGCUCUCCAAGGACCCUCCAGAGGUCCUCCUCUGUCGCUGUCCACUACCCUCCCCGGGGCGCACUCAGAGGUCGACGUGGAGGUGGAACCCGGCUGGACCCUGAGAGGCAGGGGCACCUGGGCCUUCCCUCCCCAGGCAGGCGGCAGGGCCUGGGCUGUCACUGGAUGCUCCGGGUGGGCCAGCGGGGAGGUGGCCGACCAUCGGGCAGCGGAUCUUUCACACCAUCUCUCUGGACCUGCAAACAUUCUCGAUAACGCCAG